CUUUAGGGACCCUCUACUCACUACCACAACCAUGACUGUUGCAGACGGCACGGCUCGGCCUCCUAUCCCAUCUUCUCUGCUCUAUAGCCGCCCAGAGCUGAGGAGGAGGACGUGAGGGAUUCUCCACAGGCUGGCGGAAGGAUGUGAAGCUUCCUGUGCGUGUCUGAGCCCAAGCAACCUACGCCGGGGCGGGUGGCGGACCACGUCUGCAACCAGACCCUCAGGCCAGUGCCAUCCAGUUUGAUAUGAUGGCACUGAUGUAUUGGAGAAAGGCCACAGUGAUCGGGAGGUGCAGGCUGACAGAGCGCUCUUUAUGCUUGGGGUGGAGUGGAGCGCUGGGCUCCAGGCUCUCUCCGCUCUGCAUAGGGACGUGACUGUUGACACUGCCAGGAGAGGGCAUUCUGUUCCCCUACCCCGCUGACCAGCCGGCCUCUUCCUUCCCUCAGUCCUUCAGCACCAAAGGUAGUCGCAUAACUACUUGAUAUCUGCCAUGUGAGGGGACCGGGAAAUACAGCUGGCUUCCCUUUGAACGUUUCGUGACCAUAACAGAAAAGACGGAGUGAACUGGAGGUAGAAGAAUGGGCUCUUUCAUGUCCCCCUCAUUCCAAAGCAGCUUCCUCUGUGUUCCGGAGUGUAAAUUUUGAGGGCCUGUAACUCCCCGACACGUGACAGAGAUUAGUAUGGGUACAGAGGUGUUGUCCUAUCUUGCCAGUGUCACGCGAGCCGGUAAAAAGUGAGAACCUAGGAGGAAGCUGAGCGCCCCACCACACUAUUCCCAACAGACAAUCCAAAUUUCACUCACCAACCCUCCCGGUUAUGUAAUGAGCACUUUCCUGAAUGUGGUGUUUAUGUUUGAAUUUGAGAAAAUGACAAGGUAAGCAUUUCAACAUUUGGACUAACUUAUGUAAUAAUCACUGGCCACAGUGCUUUGUUUUAAAUACCUUGACA